rnacentral:rRNA from 1 species
UACAGAGGUCUCAAGCGUUGUUCGGAUUCAUUGGGCGUAAAGGGUGCGUAGGCGGCUUGUUGCGUCGGCUGUGAAAACCCGCAGCUCAACUGUGGGCUUGCAGCCGAUACGGGCAGGCUUGAGCUCGGUAGGGGAGACUGGAAUUCCUGGUGUAGCGGUGAAAUGCGCAGAUAUCAGGAGGAACACCGGUGGCGAAGGCGACUACCUGGCCUGUUCUUGACGCUGAGGCGCGAAAGCUAGGGGAGCAAACGGG